rnacentral:ncRNA from 1 species
AUGUUACAACCCUAAUUUUUAGGAGAAAAACUUGGGGCAUAAAUAAUAUCACUAAUAACAGUAACCGAUUUAUUUUUUUUGGAAAUAAAAAAGCUUGGCUCUGACUUAAUUAUAUAAUAAAAACUAAAGAAUAUACAUGGUUUUUUUCGAGAUAAACGAGGUAAGAAACUUAUAUUAACUAAUAUAAAAUUUAAAAAUAUAUUUUUUUUUAGGUAUUAUAGACUAAAUGAUGCUUUGAAAAGCCCCGUGAACACCAGUAUUUAAGAUUAAAAAGGAGCGAAGGCUUACGUUAGUUUAGUUUAACAAAUCUGAUCAAUUUAGUGCCAGCAAUCGCGGUUAUACUAAAGGGUUAAAUUAUAUAUACAUAGGUUAAAAGGCAGUUAGGUAGUAAAAUAAGUAGAUUAACUUAUUAUACAAAAGUAAAAUUUAGAUAUAUGUUGGUGAUUUAGUGACUACUGUAAAACUGAGUCUGCGACAACCUUGAGGGAAACUGGGAUUAGAUACCCCAUUAUUCUUGGCCAUAAAUUAAUUAAAUUUACCUGAGUACUAUGAAUAUACUAAAAUUUAAAACUCAAAGGGCUUGGCGGUAUUUUAGACUCUUCAGGGGAGCCUAUCCCGUAAUCGACAAUCCACGUUAAACCUAACUUCUUUUAGUGCAUCAGCUUGUAUACCGUCGUCGGCAGGUAACUUUUAAAAAAUUAGAAGUUAGCAACAAAAAUAUUAACUAUGACGUCAGAUCAAGGUGCAGCUAAUAUAGAAGUGAGGAUGGGCUACAAUUAUUAAUUUAUAAUUACGGAUAAGAAAUAAAUUAAACUUAAGAAGGAGGACUUGAAAGUAAAGUAGACUAUAGAAAUAUUUUGAAUAUAGCUCUGAGAUGUGCACACAUCGCCCGUCGCUCUCGUUGAAAAACGAGAUAAGUCGUAACAUAGCAGAGGUAAUAGAAAUUGCCUCUAUGA